GUUGGCGGCCAUAGCGGAGGGGUAACACCCGGUCCCAUCUCGAACCCGGAAGUAAAGUCCUCCCGCGUUCCGUGUGGUACUGCCGUGAUGGUGGGAAGCCCGGACCGUCGCCAACA
rnacentral:rRNA from 1 species